UUCUUAUCCAGAGAGGUGGAGGGACUGGCCCGAUGAAGCCCGGCAACCGUCACGCGGUAUGUGACAAGGUGCCAAUUCCUGCAAGACACGCGUGUCUUGAGAGAUGAGAA
rnacentral:ncRNA from 2 species